rnacentral:rRNA from 1 species
UACGAGAGGCCCAAACGUUAUUCGGAAUUACUGGGCUUAAAGAGUUCGUAGGCGGCAUUGCAAGUAGGGUGUGAAAGCCCUCGGCUCAACCGAGGAAUUGCGCUCUAAACUGCAGUGCUUGAGGACCUAGAGGUGAGCAGAACAGAUGGUGGAGCGGUGAAAUGCGUUGAUAUCAUCUGGAAUACCGGAGGCGAAGGCGGCUCACUGGGAGUUUUCUGACGCUGAGGAACGAAAGCCAGGGUAGCGAACGGGG